rnacentral:rRNA from 1 species
GACGAACGCUGGCGGCGUGCUUAACACAUGCAAGUCGAACGGGAAGUCCCUGUUUUUUUGCGGUGCUCGAGUUGCGAACGGGUGAGUAACACUUGGGUAACCUGCCCUUGACUUUGGGAUAACUUCAUGAAACUUGGUCUACUACCGGAUAGGAUUUCCUGCUUCUUGGUGGGGCUUCGUUAGUUUCGGCGGUUGGUGAUGUACUCGCGGCUUAUCAGCUUGUUGGUGGGGUAGUUGCUUACCAAGGCUUUGACGCGUAGCCUGCCUGAGAGGGUGACCGGAUCCAUCGGGAUUGAGCUACGGCCCAGCCCACUCCCGGAGGGAGGAGUGGGGAAGAUUGCACAAUGGACGGAACCCUGAUGCAGUCAAGCAGCGUCGGGGAUGAAGGGAUGCGCGUUGUAAUCUGAUUUCCUUUGUCACGAAGCGUGAGUGACGGUAAUGGGUAAAGAAGCUCCGGCUAACUCCGUG